ACGCUCGACACCUACGGAGGCAGCAGUGAGGAAUAUUGGUCAAUGGACGCAAGUCUGAACCAGCCAUGCCGCGUGCAGGAUGACGGCUCUAUGAGUUGUAAACUGCUUUUGUACGAGGGUAAACGCAGAUACGUGUAUCUGUCUGAAAGUNUCGUACGAAUAAGGAUCGGCUAACUCCGUGCCAGAAGCCGCGGUAAUCUGAGCGGGCUGGCAAGGC
rnacentral:rRNA from 1 species